rnacentral:rRNA from 1 species
CCUACGGGAGGCAGCAGUCGGGAAUCUUGGACAAUGGGGGGAACCCUGAUCCAGCCAUGCCGCGUGUGUGAAGAAGGCCUUAUGGUUGUAAAGCACUUUAAGCGAGGAGGAGGCUCUUUUGGUUAAUACCCAAGAUGAGUGGACGUUACUCGCAGAAUAAGCACCGGCUAACUCUGUGCCAGCAGCCGCGGUAAU